UAGGGAAUCUUCGGCAAUGGGGGGAACCCUGACCGAGCAACGCCGCGUGAGUGAAGAAGGUUUUCGGAUCGUAAAGCUCUUUUGUUAAGGAAGAACGAGUGUGAGAAUGGAAAGUUCAUGCUGUGACGGUACUUAACCAGAAAGGGACGGCUAACUACGUGCCAGCAGCCGCGGUAAUACGUAGGUCCCGAGCGUUGUCCGGAUUUAUUUGGCGUAAAGCGAGCGCAGGCGGUUAGAAAAGUCUGAAGUGAAAGGCAGUGGCUCAACCAUUGUAGGCUUUGGAAACUGGUUAAAUUGAGUGCAGAAGGGGGGAGUGGAAUUCCAUGUGUAGCGGUGAAAUGCGUAGAUAUAUGGAGGAACAACGGUGGCGAAAGCGGCUCUCUGGUCUGUAACUGACGCUGAGGCUCGAAAGCGUGGGGAGCGAACAGG
rnacentral:rRNA from 1 species